CGCAAAGGCUGAAAACUCAAAGGAAUUGACGGGGACCCGCACAACGGUGGAGCAUGUGGUUUAAUUCGAAGCAACGCGAAGAACCUUACCAGGUCUUGACAUCCCACUGACCGGUGUAGAGAUACGCCUUUCCCUUCGGGGACAGUGGUGACAGGUGGUGCAUGGUUGUCGUCAGCUCGUGUCGUGAGAUGUUGGGUUAAGUCCCGCAACGAGCGCAACCCUUGAUCUUAGUUGCCAGCAUUCAGUUGGGCACUCUAAGGUGACUGCCGGUGAUAAACCGGAGGAAGGUGGGGAUGACGUCAAAUCAUCAUGCCCCUUAUGACCUGGGCUACACACGUGCUACAAUGGAUGAUACAGAGGGUUGCCAACCCGCGAGGGGGAGCCAAUCCCAUAAAAUCAUUCCCAGUUCGGAUUGGAGGCUGCAACUCGCCUCCAUGAAGCCGGAAUCGCUAGUAAUCGUGGAUCAGCAUGCCACGGUGAAUACGUUCCCGGGUCUUGUACACACCGCCCGUCACACCACGAGAGUUUGUAACACCCGAAGUCGGUGGGGUAACCCUUACGGGAGCCAGCCGCCGAAGGUGGGACAGCACUGAUUGGGGUGAAGUCGUAACAAGGUAGCCGUAUCGGAAGGUGCGGCUGGAUCACCU
rnacentral:rRNA from 1 species